AAAGCCUAAACUAUCAAGUUAUGAAACUUUCUCGAGUUUCCCUUCUUCCUCUUGUUUAUGGAAGCUGGAGGAGGAACCACCAAACCGAUCCAUCAACCGUUCAUUCAAUAGAAAAAAAAAAAAAAACCCGCGGAACUCCGCCGGCCAAUCAGAUCGAGCCCGUCCGAGCUUUCCUUCCUCCCUCGAAUCUUCCAUGAACCUGGAGCGCCUGCCGGUGGAACGCUACGGCUACCGGUACGCGGGGAUGCCACCGCCAGACCCGGGGUUCGAGCCCACCGAGGGCGACGGCGAGGGGGCUCCAGCCUCGGCCCCGGAGCGGCGGCCGUAGGUCCGGGCGGCGUCGGCGUCGCUCCGGGUGCCCGAUGCGGCGCGGGUCUUCGACGAGCUCCCGCGCGCCUCCAUCGUUUCCGUCUCGCGCCCCGAAGUGGGGGACAUCACGCCCAUGCUGCUCUCCUACACCAUCGAGGUCCACUACAAGCAGGAAAUCAUGUGACUUCGGUGUGAUGCUGAUUACUCUGAAAUCGCGCCCUUGGGUGGAAUCCACGAUCAAGUUAUACGUGAAUUGGGUAGCGACAAUGUUUAGAUGGCGUCUAUAUAAGAAAGCUUCACAGGUUCUCUAUCUACAUUUUGCAUUGAAGAGGCGUGAAUUCCUUGAAGAAUUCCAUGAAAAGCAGGAGCAGGUUUUGCUUCUCUCCCGAGCUCAACGUAAGCAAGCAGAAAAGUCCAUAGUCCGUGCCCGAAGCGCUCAGGCCCAGAUUGACUUGCUACAAAAACGGGCGGAAAAAGCUGAGGGCCAGAAGCGCGAGAUGUCGCGGCGUGCGAAGGAUGCAGAGUUACGAUUGGAGCGGCUUGAAAUGGAGCUCGAUGCCCUUCGCUCGGUGAAGGGGAUCGCUGACAGCGAAGUGAGUUGCCUUCGACAGAAUCUGCAAUCCUUCGAAGCGCAAGUUUGCGAGUUGCAAUCACUUUGCGCGUCGGAGAGAGAGAAAGCUGAGCGGCUGCAGAUUGAACUAAGCGAAGCGAAUGCUUACAAUGACGAUGCCCUUAAUGUCAUUGGGGAGCUUAAGCUGAAGGCGGUUGCCGCUUGCGAAGCAAUCAGCCGUACCUUCGAAGGUAUAGGCGCCUCGGCGACCCCUCCAUCACUUGAACUCGUCGGACUGAGUGGGCUUAUCGGUUGGAUCAAUGAGACCAGUAGUAGCCUCCUUCUGGCUGCACAACUUUACGGCAACUUCUGCGCCAUGGUUGCCGCCCGGAGUCUCGUGCAAUCUAUGGAGAUGACGGGUUGCGACCAUCACACUGCUCUCCAACAACCUUCCUUCCAGUAUCCUUCGGAUUUGUCAACUUCGGCUAUUACAAAAGCAUCGAAGAGCACUGCUCGAUCAUUCACCACCAAUUACAGGUGCAAGCAUGGCCGCGAGCUCGCUCUUCGAGAGGCCGAAUUGAACCGGCAGAGGGCCAAGGCGAGGGAUGACACCUCGUCGAAACCAACUACUAUGACAACCGAAGAUACUGGGAAGGUGGGAUGAAUUGGCGUGAAGGGUCGUGUUUAUGCUUUUGUUUUUGUAAUUAGCGAUGUGACACACUGGCUGUGUAAUACAUUAUAUAUUCAUAUCGAACUGUUAUUGACCUUUUUGUGCUCCCUGCGCAGGUCCUUGCGUCAGACACUGCGCAGGUAGCCGAAGAAGCUAUGCCUUUGACUAUGAUGAGGGAUAAUUUUUAUGUAUCCUAGUCCUGCUAGGAAUCAUUUCACCGACGUCAUGCUAAUAUCGACUUGGAGCGGUACUGGCAUGCGAAGUGUAGAUCGUAUGACGAUAUGAAUGCUAGAACGAAAGCGUUUUGGAAAUCUGUUAGUCCUUCGACGCUAGUUAGUCGACGAGCUGAACGAAAUCUGCGCCGUGCGGCGAGAGGGGACGUUGACGGCACAUCGGUGCUUGUUGAGCCGAAGAUUGAACCUCAAGACGAGGAGCCGUUUUCACACAGACUCCAAUUGUGCUAUCGGCGUGGUCCCUCUUCGUAAGUAGCUAGGCGAAGUGGUAGUGAUGGCGAAACUCCUAUGUCGCCGUCAUAUUGUAAUCAAGUUGGGGUCCAUUCGGCCCCAUCGUCGCGUUUCCAUGCCAGCGAAGGCAUCGAUUAUCAAUUUUCUUUCAGUCGUUUGUAUAAGGAUUUUGUUGAUCCAGAAGUUGAUUUUGAUGCGGAAUAAAUUGGGUUUGUGUUGUGAUUUGUUCUUUUGGUACACCUUUACCGGCAUGACGUGCGAAGUGUUUUUUUUUUGGUGCGAUGCGCUCUGAACCUAUGUUGGAUUCUCUGGGUUAGACUUUCUUGACGAAGGCCAUCCCCCGAUUUUCAUCGCAGUUUCCUGCGAUUCUACUAGGCUGAUAUUUUUCUUAUUAUCAUUGUUAUUUUUGCGAAGCGCCGUCCCCCCCCCCCCCUCGGACUUUUACUCGCAGGUAACUUCGGCCUGGUGGGGGGCAAGCAAUCUUGGCCUCUGACGUCUAGCUUUGAAGGUUUUUGGUUUCAACUCGCUGGACGGUUGAUAUUUGGGCAGGCACUCCUAGCCCCCUGCCCUUGACGAAGUGCGUUGCCUUUUAGUUGGCUUAGGGACACUUCGUUUUUUUUGUCCCGAAGGUUUGUUUUACCCUUCAGUGCGGGGGCAGGCACUCUUAGCCCCCGACUUUCGGCGAAGUUCGUUGCUUUUUCUUUGGCUCGGCGAUACUUCGUUUUUGCGAAGGUUUGUUUUUCCCUUCGGUGCGGGGGUAGGCACUCUUAGCCCCCGACUUUCGGCGAAGUUCGUUGCCUUUUCUUUGGCUCGGCGAUAUUUCGUUUUUGCGAAGGUUUGUUUUUCCCUUCGGUGCGGGGGCAGGCACUCUUAGCCCCCUGGCGGUUUUUAUAAUUCCGCGAAGGUCGCAAGUGUACGCUUGCUUGCCUACACUUCGCACCGCGUUCUAGUCGUCGAUUGGUGCGCCAAUCUCUUAGUCUGGCGCACUUCGACGAAAAGUACUACUACUCAAGACAAGCAAUAUUUUUUGGGGGGCACUAUCAUUGUUCACAUGGGUUCCUGCCUCGUUAAAAACCUCACCCCCUAGCGAAGGGGUCCCCCUGUGAGAAAAAGAGUGCAGUACCCUUACAAUGCGAUUACAAGAACUACUAUGAAAAUUAAAAAUUACAUUGGAGUCUCGGACUCUAAUUGCCGAUCUUCAGGCGUAGAACUUGCGAAGGUUGUCUGCAUUCCAGGUGUGUGGAAGCUCUUCACCUUAAAUAUUGGCUAGAUGACAAGAACCAGGUCUCAAAGAUCUUUUAACUAUGAAGGGGCCAUCCCAUUUACUCUGAAGUUUGCCAAACAAUGCUGCUGUACCAAAUCUUCGCAACACCAAGUCUCCGGGUGCGAAGGUCUUUUCGGAUACAUUCCUAUCUCUCCAUUUUCUUGUCUCUUUUUGGUAAGUGGCCAGGUUUUUUGCGGCUUGCAAUCUUACUUCUUCAAGGGCAUCUUUCGAUGAAAAUUCCUCGCAUUGUUCUAGUUCAUUCCCGACCCUGAAUGAUUUCGUUUUGCAUUCCUCUGGAGUUAUGGCCUCUUCGCCAAACAGUAGGUGAAAUGGCGUAUCCUGUUGGUCUUGCAACCGUUGUUCUUAAUGACCAUAGUACUUUGGGCAAUUCUUCGACCCACUUUCCUUUUGGCAAUCCUUGAAGACGCUUCGCAACCCCUGCGAAGAUGAUGCCAUUUGCUCUCUCAACUGUGCCAUUAGAUUGUGGGUGGUAAACUGAUGCAAACAUUAAUUUUAUGCCUAAGCCAUUACAUAAAUCUCUAAAUCCCGCGCUAUCGAACUGAGUACCAUUGUCCACGGUUACUUCGCUUGGAACCCCGAAGCGGCACAAAAUAUUCUGCCAUAGGAAUUUUUUUAAUGUUUUUUGACGUUAUGCUCACAAGUGGCAUUGCUUCUACCCAUUUUGAAAAGUACUCUACCGCCACCACCGCAUAGCGCAAAUUUCCUGGGGCUGGCAGCAGCUGCCCGACAAUAUCGAUUCCCCAUCGCCGCAAUGGCCAGAUCGGCGGAAUAAAUUGUGUCUUCGUUGUUGGUCUGUUUGAUCUCUUUGCCCAGAAUUGGCAUUGUUGGCAACUUUAUAAUUUCUUACCCUCUAAGCCAUGCGCUUUUCUUCGACCUGAUCUUCGAUAUCCCUUUGGCCCCGCAGAUAUGCCAUUAUCGGAAAACGCCAGUCUUUGCUCUCAAUUGUUGCGACCAAGCGUGUUUGGUUGGAACUGUCAUCGAGGGCCAGUUCAGUUAGUUUCUGAUAGAAGACAUCUGGAGGCAUGGGCAUGUUCUGCGAAGCCGCUUUUGCUAGCUCAUCUGCUUCGUUGUUAUCAUUCCUUGAUACACUUUUCACUGUGAAUCCGACGAAGUAUUUUUCCAUUCUUCGCACUGCUGCUCUGUCCUUGAUCAGCUCUGGUUCCUUUGCCUGCAAUGUUUUUUCAAUCUGGCUUGCUACAACCUUCGAGUCUGUUUUGACAAGUAUUCUUCGAGCUCCCAAAACCUUCGCCUUGCGAAGUGCCAGGAGUACAGCUUCGUAUUCCGCUGUAUUGUUUGUGGAUCGGAACUCUAACCUGGCGGUGUAUCGCAGCUUCGUCCCCGAAGGUGAAAAUAUUACUGCCGAGACUUCUGCUCUUACAGCUCCCCAGGCUCUGUCGCAGUACGCGGUCCAGAUAGGUUCUGCUGCUUCGUCAUCCAAAGCCUCAGAUGAAGGUGUCCAUUCCGCCACGAAAUCUGCCAGCGCUUGCGAUUUUAAUGAUGUUCGUGCCACGAAGACAAUCAUGAAUGGAGCUAUCUCCGUUGCCCACUUCGCUAUUCUUCCGAUGGCUUCUUUGUUUUCGAACAUGUCGCGAAGGGGUAGGGAAGUUGGCACUGUAAUCUUAUGAGAAGUAAAAUAGUGGCGAAGCUUGCGGGAUGCCAUUACUAGUGCAUACGCUACUUUUUCCAACUCUGUGUAUGACUUCUUUGGGUCUGCUAGUACUUUGGAUACAUAAUACACUGGUGCUUGGCGCAGCCUGGUAUCUUCGGGUUUUUCCUGCACGAGAACAGCGCUGACUGCUGAUGGGGAAGCCGCUAUGUAUAACAAUAAAUCUGCGCCUGGAUCCGGGCUGGUCAAUGCUGUAAGCUUCGUCAAGUAUACUUUUAACUCAUCGAAGGAAGCCUGCUGCUCGGCACCCCAUUUGAAAGGGUCAGAACUUCUUAACACCUUGAAGAGUGGUAGACUUCGCUCGGCGGACUUCGCAAUGAACCUGUUCAAUGCUGCUAGUCUUCCUGUCAAGCGUUGGGCUUGCUUUCUGUUAUGUGGCGGUUUCAUAUCCAAAAUUGCUUGUAUCUUCUGAGGAUCCGCUUCGAUUCCUCUUUUCGACGCUAGAAACCCCAGGAGUCUUCCGGAUUGCACUCCGAAGACGCAUUUCUCUGGGUUUAAUUUUAAACCUGCUCUUCGCAGAUUAUCGAAGGUUUCCCGGAGGUCUUCGAUGUGUUGGCCUCUCCUGGUACUUUUUACUACUAUGUCAUCAACAUAGGUCAAUACAUUUUGUCCCAGCUGCGGCUUUAAUGUGGCCUAUACCAAUCUUGUAAAGGUUGCUCCAGCAUUCCGGAGUCCAAAAGGCAUUCUUACGAAACAGUAUGUUCCGAAAGAGAUUCUGAAACUCGUUUUGUCUUCGUCUUCCUUUGCCAUCCAUAUUUGAUGGUACCCAGCAUAAGCAUCUAGGAAGCUUAGCAUCUCGCAGCCGGCUGCGGAGUCUAUAAGCUGGUCAAUUCUAGGCAGUGGAAAGUCAUCCUUGGGGCAAAUUUUGUUUAAAUCUGUGAAAUCGAUGCAUAUUCUCCACUUUCCAUUACUUUUCCUUACUAAUACUGGGUUGGCCAGCCAUUCCGAGUGCAUAACCUCGCGUAUUACUCCGGCAUCGAGCAGUUUUUCUACUUCGACCUUUGCUGCUUCUUCUCUUUCCUCCGAAGCCUUUUUAAGCUUCUGUUUCUUUGGCUUCGCUUUGGGGUCCACAUUUAGCUUGUGCUGAAUGAUGCUUCGACUCACUCCUUGCAGGUCUCAAGGGGACCACGCGAAGACAUCGUUAUUUCUGCGAAGGAACAUGACAAGUUGCUGCUGAUCUUCUGCCGGGGCCUCUGCCCCUAUUGUAAUCUUCUUAUCUUCUUCAUGAUUUAGCAGCACUAUUCUGGUAGGUCCUUCUGGUGCAGCCUUCGCACAUUUCUCUAUGGUUUUCCUGCUGUGGCCUGCUUCGGCACCCGUCGAAGGGUCUGCGAUGUUGUGGACAUUUCUUCUUCCUGAGGCUAUUCCUACUUCGAUUCGCCUAGCAACUCGCUGAUCUCCCAACACCUUUAUGACUCCUUCUGGGCCAGGCAUCUUCAUGCACAAAUAAGCGUGGUGCAGUAUUGCUCCGAAUUUAUUGAGGAACCCCCUCCCAAAUAUCGCAUUGUAUGGGUAACUAAUGUCCACCACGUCGAAGGUAAUUUCCUCUGUGUGGAAAUUCAUCUGUUCGCCAAGCGACACUGGGAUUGUUAAUUUUCCUAGAGCGUUGAUUGUGUUUCUGCCGAAGCCCAGCAACGGCGACCCAGCUUGUUUCAAGUCAUUUCUUCGCAGCCCCAUCUUAUCGAAGGCAUCAACGAAGAUAAUGUCCGUAGAACUUUCUCCAUCGACCAAUAUCCUGUGUAUUUCAUUUCCCGAGAUGUUCGCAGUAAUGACUAGGGCAUCUGUGUGCGAAUAAUCUAAUACCCUCAUAUCCUCUUGCGAGAAUGUAAUGGGAAUGUUAGACCAUCUUGAAUUGAUGUAUGUUGGUCCCACUCCGACGUGGUUAACCCUUCGUACGUAUUCUUUUUGCUGUCUCUUGGAUUCUGUUUGCUGACUGGACCCCCCUGAAAUAGCCAGCACCACAUUGUACCCAUUGUUUAUGGUAUUAACUGAUUUGCUACUUUCUGGUGGUGCCUCGAUUGCAGGUCUUGGCGGAGGCGGGGGUAGAUUGCCCCGAAUGUUCAGUUGCCUAGUUUGAUCAAAUUGGGCUGAAGGUGCGGGUGCAAAUUGUGGUGCUCGAAUUUGAUGCCAUUGGUUCGGAAACACUAUGUUCUGAUUGUGGUUUUGCCACCCUUCGCUUCUUGCGAAGCUUGUUGCGUGGUGAACUGCCCUUUCGUUAUCUAUUGACUGCUUCGCUAUACUUUCUUUCAUGGCCACGACUUGUGGGCAAUGUUUAGUCCGGUGGCCUGCUCCUUCGCCGUGCAGCUCACAGUAAAAGGUUGAUGGGUCAUGCGAAGGUCGUCCUCCUCUACCUUCACGGCCUCUUCCCCUGCCCGCCCGGCCUCCUCUAUUGGACGAGUUGUAGGCUUCGCACAAGCCUUGGACUACUUCGGGCGGGCCGGGGUUGAUCUGGUUGAUUUCUUUUUGGCUUGGAUAAUCAGGACCUUCGGGUUUUCUUGGACGCUGAGGUCUGUCACUCUGAUUGCCACCAACUGCCUCCUUAUGUGGUGCAUGCUUUGCUCUUGAGGUCGUAAACUCGUUUUUCCUUCGUAGAUGAUCGAGUUCAGAUCUUGAGUAUUCUUCCAUCUUGUUUAGUAGCUCUUGGACGCUUGUGGGUUUUUUUCUAGUGAGCUUCCCUGCCAAAAGGCCCCCUCUGAUGCCCUGUAUUGCGGCAUCGAUGAUGGUAUCUUCGCUCAGUCCCUUCGCCUGACAACGUAUGUGUACGAAUCGGCGCAUAUAGCUUUGUAAAGUUUCUGUCGGUUGUUGCUUCAGCGCGAAGAGGUCGGUUGCGGUGAUGUUAUCCGCCCGGUUCCCUUGGAAGUUGCUGUAUAGGGCAGUGCGCAGCUGUUCCCAUGAAUAUAUGGAUCUCGGGGGUAGAGCGGAGUACCACGACUUUGCUAUUUCCUUGAUCGCCAAUACGAAAGCCUUCGCCAAGGUUACACCGUCUCCGCCAGCUGACUCUACGGCUGCCUCGAAGCUCAUGACAAAUUCUCUCGGAUCUGAUUCUCCAUCGAAAAUAACCACUCUGGGCAUUUUGAAUCCUAGCGGCCAUGGCUGAUUUUGCAGGUCCAUUGCUAGGGGUGACUCAGGAUCUCCCGCGGAAGAUCUUCGCCGAAUUUCUUGCGAGGCUCGUAUCAAAUCUCUCGGUGGUGUUGGCCGGCGAGACAUGCCUUCUGCUUGGAGUAUAUCGAUUUCCUCCUGGAUCCUUUCCAACGUUUUUCUUGCUUCGUCUACCCACCGGCGGUACUCCGUAGUUUUUCGGGUCGCUGCUAGGCCAUCCAACAUGCGCUUUUUGUGCGCAAUCUGCCUUUCCAACUCCUCAGCUUCUAGCCUAGCAUUUCGUUCUUCGUUUGUUUCUUCAUCAUGUUCCAACUCGGUGAAGUCGCCUAGUUCCUCCCAUUCUUCGCUUCGCCCUCUUUCGCCCUCUUUUUCUGGAAAAUCGAAGCGAAUGCGAUCUAUUGGCUCCAUGAUCGGCAUUUGCUCUGUGUCCACCCGUAGUGUGUCGUCAUGUCGGCCAUCGGCAGUUUGUUGUGGCGUUGUGUCAACUUCGCAAUGCUGCUCUUGUGCGGCCGAAGCCCCCCCCCCCCCCCGGCCGAGGCAUUGCCUGAUUCUGGUACCGCCGGAGUGGUUCUGUCGGCCGAAGGUCCGACCACGGCUCUGUCUGCCAAAGGUCCGACCACGGCUGGGAGUUCUAGUAGCGCCUCCGCUCCUCCAGGUGGCUUCGCUUUCUUCUUGGGUGGCAUGCUUUCGUGGGUUCGAUCCCGCGGACGGCGCCAACUGUUGGGAUCGGAGUCUCAGACAAGGAGGGCCUUCGGGGGUGGAGGUGGCGAAGGUCCCUUAUAGUGACGUGUACUGGAAGUAGAACAGUUUUCGAUUACCUUUCACGGUUACACUGUGGCUCUAUUUAUAGCCCGUACCCGGCGAUCACGGGUCCAGUUUACAUAUAUUACCCCUAACCUGCUACAUUCCUGGAAUAUCCAGGGGUAAUAUGGUACAAAUGAGCAUGAUUCCAUAAUUACAACUGUGCCCAGGACAACUGGGCCCACUGUCAAACUGGUCGUCCAACCGAAGGAUAUCGAAGCCCUCUUCGUCCAACCUCUUGACGAGCUGCCUUCGCCGUCUCCUGGCGAAGGCCUGGCCUUGUCUUCGCAUGGUCCGAAGGACGCGGGACGCGAAUCGGGGCUUCGCCCGACAAUCGAGAUCGGUCAGCCUUCGCAUGUGCCAAUCCGGUGAGAAGAAAAUGCUUGGACGCUUCGCAUGUACCAAUCCGGUGAGAAGAAGAUGCAACCAGCGCGACAGCUGUCCCGCAGCACCUCCAACUAACUUCGCAGUUGUCUUCGGGUGCGGGGAUGGCGGGAGAUGAUCCCCAACAGAUUGCUGUGGUCAUUGAAGAUAAAGAAGUUGUCAAUUCCAAAAUGGAUGGAAGACCUUGGGAAGCUGGGAAAUUCUCUCUAAGCCUACGUCUCUCUCUGUGGGCGGAGCACCUUGGCCUUCAUCCAGGAGAGAUUAGCCACAUCAUGGAUCCUAUAGAUGAUUCAACAUUCAAAAAUAUCUGGAUGGCCACUGCUAAGACGAAUACCAUGAUAUACCAAGAUGUCUUCUCUUGUGUACCCAAUGAUCUCAUGCAUUCGAGGGUCCAAUUUUGGCAAAGCUUUGCUCAGUUGAGGGA